AACGUAGGGGGCUAGCGUUGUUCGGAAUUACUGGGCGUAAAGCGCGUGUAGGCGGCCCCGCAAGUCGGAAGUGAAAGCCCUCGGCUCAACCGGGGAACUGCUUUCGAAACUGCGGGACUUGAGUGUGGGAGGGGAGAGCGGAAUUCCCGGUGUAGCGGUGAAAUGCGUAGAUAUCGGGAAGAACACCGGUGGCGAAGGCGGCUCUCUGGACCACUACUGACGCUGAGACGCGAAAGCGUGGGUAGCAAACAGG
rnacentral:rRNA from 1 species